CUAAAUCAAAUGACAGACAAAAAAAUCUGGCUUAGUUCAAUCUAGAACAAACGGGUAGUAAGAUUCCUUCAAAAGGUGUAGAAGAUGAAGGAAGAGCACUGACUUUUUUAUCUUUGAUCUCACUAGACUGAAUCCAAGUCUUGAUCUGGUCCCUAUACCGCUGCAGCUUCUUGAUCUCCUUCUUCAACUCAGCCUCAAACUUUUCCUUUUGGUUAACAUUAUCCGUAUCAUAGACCUGAAACACACCAAAAAAGAGCCC